UUCCUACGGGAGGCAGCAGUAGGGAAUCUUCCGCAAUGGACGAAAGUCUGACGGAGCAACGCCGCGUGAGUGAUGAAGGUUUUCGGAUCGUAAAGCUCUGUUGUUAGGGAAGAACAAGUGCCGUUCAAAUAGGGCGGCACCUUGACGGUACCUAACCAGAAAGCCACGGCUAACUACGUGCCAGCAGCCGCGGUAAUACGUAGGUGGCAAGCGUUGUCCGGAAUUAUUGGGCGUAAAGGGCUCGCAGGCGGUUUCUUAAGUCUGAUGUGAAAGCCCCCGGCUCAACCGGGGAGGGUCAUUGGAAACUGGGGAACUUGAGUGCAGAAGAGGAGAGUGGAAUUCCACGUGUAGCGGUGAAAUGCGUAGAGAUGUGGAGGAACACCAGUGGCGAAGGCGACUCUCUGGUCUGUAACUGACGCUGAGGAGCGAAAGCGUGGGGAGCGAACAGGAUUAGAUACCCUGGGUAGUCCA
rnacentral:rRNA from 1 species